UACGUAGGGUGCGAGCGUUGUCCGGAUUUAUUGGGCGUAAAGGGCUCGUAGGCGGCGUGUCGCGUCGGGAGUGAAAGACCGGGGCUUAACCCCGGUUCUGCUUCCGGUACGGGCAUGCUGGAGUGUGGCAGGGGAGACUGGAAUUCCUGGUGUAGCGGUGGAAUGCGCAGAUAUCAGGAGGAACACCAGUGGCGAAGGCGGGUCUCUGGACAGUUCCUGACGCUGAGGCGCGAAGGCCAGGGGAGCAAACGGG
rnacentral:rRNA from 1 species